rnacentral:rRNA from 1 species
AGCAUGUGGUUAAUUCGAUGAUACGCGAGGAACCUUACCUGGGCUCAAAUGUAUGUUUGACGUAUUCUGAAAAGGGAUACUUCUUCGGACAAUAUACAAGGUGCUGCAUGGUUGUCGUCAGCUCGUGCCGUGAGGUGUCGGGUUAAGUCCCAUAACGAGCGCAACCCCUAUCAUUAGUUGCCAUCAGGUCAAGCUGGGGACUCUAAUGAAACUGCCUACGCAAGUAGUGAGGAAGGUGGGGAUGACGUCAAAUCAGCACGGCCCUUACGUCCAGGGCUACACACGUGCUACAAUGGCCGGUACAAAGGGCAGCUACCUGGUGACAGGAUGCUAAUCUCAAAAGCCGGUCUCAGUUCGGAUCGGAGUCUGCAACCCGACUCCGUGAAGUUGGAUUCGCUAGUAAUCGCAGAUCAGCAACGCUGCGGUGAAUACGUUCCGGCCUU